GGGGACAACAGCCAGAAAUGGCUGCUAAUACCGCAUAAGCCUGCUGUGCCGCAUGGCACAGCAGGGAAAACCACGGUGGUACAGGAUGGGCCCGCGUCUGAUUAGUUAGUUGGCAGGGUAACGGCCUACCAAGACAACGAUCAGUAGCCGGCUUGAGAGAGUGGACGGCCACAUUGGGACUGAGACACGGCCCAGACUCCUGCGGGAGGCAGCAGUGGGGAAUAUUGCACAAUGGGGGGAACCCUGAUGCAGCAAUGCCGCGUGGGUGAAGAAGCACUCCGGUGCGUAAAGCCCUGUCAGCAGGGAAGAAAAUGACAGUACCUGGACAAGAAGCCCCGGCUAACUACGUGCCAGCAGCCGCGGUAAUACGUAGGGGGCAAGCGUUAUCCGGAUUUACUGGGUGUAAAGGGAGCGCAGGCGGCGUGGCAAGUCAGAUGUGAAAACCCGGGGCCCAACCCCGGGAGUGCAUUUGAAACUGCCAUGCUGGAGUGCCGGAGAGGUAAGCGGAAUUCCUAGUGUAGCGGUGAAAUGCGUAGAUAUUAGGAGGAACACCAGUGGCGGAGGCGGCUUACUGGACGGUAACUGACGCUGAGGCUCGAAAGCGUGGGGAGCAAACAGGAUUAGAUACCCUGGUAGUCCACGCCGUAAACGAUGAA
rnacentral:rRNA from 1 species